GACGAACGCUGGCGGCGUGCUUAACACAUGCAAGUCGAACGGAAAGGCCCUGCUUUUGUGGGGUGCUCGAGUGCCGAACGCGUGAGUAACACGUGAGUAACCGGCCCUUGUCUUUGGGAUAACUUCAGGAAACUGGGGCUACUACCGUAUAGGAGCUCCUGCUCCAUGGUGGGCGUUGGAACGUUUCGGCGGUAGGGGAUGGAUGGGCGGCUUAUGAGCUAGUUAGUGGGGUAGUUGCUGACCCAGGCUUUGACGGGUAGGCGGCCUGAGAGGGUGACCGGGCACAAGAGGACUGAGGGACGGCCCAGAGGCGUACGGGAGGCAGCAGUGGGGAAUAUGGCACAGCGGGCGGACGCGUGAUGCAGCAGCGCUGGGUGCGGGAUGACGGCCUUCGGGGUGUAAACCGCUGUAGCCUGUGACGAAGCGUGAGUGACGGUAACGGGUAAAGAAGCACCGGCUAACUACGUG
rnacentral:rRNA from 1 species